AGUGAACGCUGGCGGUAGGCCUAACACAUGCAAGUCGAACGGCAGCACAGUAAGAGCUUGCUCUUACGGGUGGCGAGUGGCGGACGGGUGAGGAAUACAUCGGAAUCUACUUUUUCGUGGGGGAUAACGUAGGGAAACUUACGCUAAUACCGCAUACGACCUACGGGUGAAAGCAGGGGAUCUUCGGACCUUGCGCGAUUGAAUGAGCCGAUGUCGGAUUAGCUAGUUGGCGGGGUAAAGGCCCACCAAGGCGACGAUCCGUAGCUGGUCUGAGAGGAUGAUCAGCCACACUGGAACUGAGACACGGUCCAGACUCCGACGGGAGGCAGCAGUGGGGAAUAUUGGACAAUGGACGCAAGCCUGAUCCAGCCAUACCGCGUGGGUGAAGAAGGCCUUCUGGUUGUAAAGCCCUUUUGUUGGGAAAGAAAAGCAGCAGGUUAAUACCCCGCUGUUCUGACGGUACCCAAAGAAUAAGCACCGGCUAACUUCGUG
rnacentral:rRNA from 1 species